UGGGGGCUCAGCUAACGGCAGGCUGCUUGGCUUUUGACCCAGGUCGUGGAGGUUCGAGUCCUUCGCCCCCAG
rnacentral:tRNA from 1 species